rnacentral:sRNA from 1 species
ACUGGUUUGGAAGUACAGACCUAUUUAUGUUAGUGCAGUUUUAAGUAGUUCACCGUUUAGCGUUAUCCAUGAUACCUCUUCGUUGCGAAUUCCUUCAAAUAGUGACCAUAAGUAAAAUCCGAAAUCAAACCGCACACAAUGCCUUAUGGCAAAAUAAUUAAUUAAAGGAAAUCUUAUGUCUAAUACAAUGACUGGUACAGUAAAAUGGUUUAACGAUGAUAAAGGCUUCGGUUUUAUCACUCCUAAAGAUGGUAGCAAAGACGUAUUCGUACACUUUUCAGCGAUCCAAAGCGAAAGCUUCAAAUCUCUGAAAGAAGGCCAAGAAGUUUCAUUUUCUAUUGAAAAUGGCGCUAAAGGCCCAGCAGCAGCGAACGUAAUCGCUCUGUAAUAUUGAGUCAUUAUUGCAGUAAAUAUUGCUUAAUGCAGUAUUAAUACU